UACGUAGGUGGCAAGCGUUGUCCGGAAUUACUGGGUGUAAAGGGCGUGUAGGCGGGGGACAAGUCAGAUGUGAAAUCCCGAGGCUUAACUUCGGAGCUGCAUCUGAAACUGUUCUUCUUGAGUGUCGGAGAGGAAAGUGGAAUUCCCAGUGUAGCGGUGAAAUGCGUAGAGAUUGGGAGGAACACCAGUGGCGAAGGCGGCUUUCUGGACGAUAACUGACGCUGAGGCGCGAAAGCGUGGGGAGCAAACAGG
rnacentral:rRNA from 1 species